GGAACUGUAAGUUUUUACUCCAUUCGAGAGUGACAGACCCUGGAGUCAACUUUACUUCGUCCAGCAGGGAUCAUAACUGUCCUGGGCUCUGUGCCUUCUGCGGUGUUGUAGAAUUGCUGCCGAGAUCCGGACGCUGUGGAGAUGUGAAGGGCUGUGCUUCAUAAAGACGAAUGAUGCUGAUCAGGCCAUUUGAGCUGAAACUGCAUGCGUGUGGUGGGGGCCCCUUCUGGUACCAGCCUCAGGGACUGACUGCUUUUACGUUGCUGUAGCCCUCAUCUGUAGCUCUGAGAGAAUCUGCUAAACUCCUUCCAUGGAAGUUGGAGCUCCCAGAUCUGUACUGGCCAUCUCUAGGGUGUGGCUGUUCCAUUUGCUGUUCUGGAUUGUGGAAUAGAUGCCCAAGACUGCCUCAUUACUCACUCGAACCCUGUUGAACUCACGAGACUGCCAUCUAUUUCAGUCACCAUUAUCGGAGAUCCAGGCUGUAGUACUAACUGAUGGGGCCACGAUUUAAAAAAUAAAAUACAUCUGGGUUUGAAGCUCUG